AUGUUUAGAGCAAUGGCGCACCGCCUUCUUCUGAGGGGUAAGAUGAGCGUCGGCCUCGCUCGCUUCUCCGCGGCCCCGAGUUCCCAGAGGCUGGCCGGGAAGGUGGCCGUCAUCACCGGCGCCGCCAGCGGCAUGGGCAAGGCGACCGCUGCGGAGUUCGUCAGGAACGGCGCCAAGGUCAUCCUCACUGACAUUCAGGACGACCUCGGCCACGCCGUGGCCGCCGAGCUCGGCCCCAACGCCUCCUACGCCCGCUGCGACGUCACGGACGAGGCGCAGAUCGCCGCGGCCGUCGACCUCGCGGUGGCGCGCCACGGCAAACUCGACAUCCUGCACAACCACGCUGGGGUCGCCGGGAGGAUGACCAUGGACUCCGUCGCGUCCCUCGACCUCGCCGACUUCGACCGCACCAUGGCGGCCAACGCCCAGUCCGCCGUCGCCGGGAUCAAGCACGCGGCGCGCGUGAUGGAGCCGCGCCGGAGCGGGUGCAUCAUCUGCACGGCGAGCACGGCGGGGGUACUAGGCGGCGUGAACCCCGCGUACUGCAUCUCCAAGGCCGCCGUGAUCGGCGCCGUUCGGGCGUUGGCCCGGGAGCUGGGGAGGCACGGCGUGCGCGUGAACGCCAUCUCGCCGCAUGGCGUCGCGACGCCGUUCGGGCUGCGCGGGCUGGCGGAGCUGCUCCCGGAGGCGAGCGAGGAGGAGCUGAGGCGAAUGGUGGAGGCGGGCAUGAACGAGAUGGGCGGGGCGGUUCUGGAGGUGGAGGACAUCGCGCGGGCGGCCGUGUACCUGGCGUCCGAGGAGGCCAGGUACGUCAACGGGCACAACCUCGUCGUCGACGGAGGGUUUACCGUGGGGAAGCUGAUUCACAUGCCCGAUCCGGUGAGGAGUGAGUGA
rnacentral:rRNA from 1 species